AGAAAUAUAAGGGACUGCAGAAGCAGCUCCUAGGAUUCAGUUUUCAGGAUUUCAGCAUUUUCCGAUCUUCAGUGGUUCAGGGGAGAGAUUUCUACCCCCACCAUGUCCAUCUUCCAGAAGGCUGUUGCUGGCCUCUGAAGGAUGUGGAGAGGCCUCCAGCCUCGAGAGGAAAAGUUCAGAGACCUUGCAAGCUGCGGAGCGACUGAAACUGUUUCCAGUUUGCUGCUGUUACAGCCUGGAAGGGGAAGUGAAGACUCUGAGCCUCAACUGAGCUGCGUGAGUGUGGCCAUUUGUCAGAUCAUUUGGUCGCUGAAAUUGCUAUUUUGAGUGUGGCUUGUCAGGUGCUGUGCUGGGGCAUCUCGGCAGCUCCGGGAGAAAUAAGUGAUUUUGCCUUCCCAGAAUUCUGCAACUUGGCACCCUCAGGCACUGCAACAUUUCACCAUCUUACACCCUGAAUCCUGUCGGCCCUUACUGAUGUCUGCGGCAGCUCAUUCAUUCCAUUCUUCAGAAGCCAGCUUCCAAGAACUCACUCGAGCAGAAGAUUGGCUGAAUUAUCUGAGGAAGAAGAUGGCUUCCAUCUCUUUAGGAUGGCAAGAAAGUACUUUGGAGACCUUAAUCCUGACCCUGAGAUUCCUGUGCAUGGCAGAACCUAAGGAAAGAAGAGCAAUAACAAAUGUUGGUGUGGACGUGGUGAAAAAGGAAUUCUGCUACACUGCUGGUGGGAGUGCAAACUGGUCCAACCACUAUGGAAAGCUGUCUGGAGGUUCCUCAGUCUACUAAAAAUGGAGCUACUAUACGACCUGGCAAUUCCACUCCUAGGGAUCUACCCAAAGGACACAAACACAAUGAUUCAAAAGAACACCUGUACACCUAUGUUUAUUGCAGCACUGAUUCAAAAGAACACCUGUACACCUAUGUUUAUUGCAGCACUAUUUACAAUAGGUAAAACCUGGAAACAACCCAAAUGCCCAAAAAUAGAUGACUGGAUCAAGAAGAUUGGUCUAUGUACACAAUAGAGUAUUAUUCAGCAAUCAGAAAAGAUAAACUCUGCCAUUUGCAACAAUGUGGAUGGAGCUAGAAGGAAUUAUGCUCAGUGAAAUAAGCCAGAAGGAAAAAGAAAAAAUAUCGAUUGGUUUCAUUUAUAGCAGGAAUAUAGGGGAACAAAAUUAGACAUCAGUCUAAAAAAAUAAUAACAGUACAAACACAACAAAGCAAAAAUGGACAAUUAUAAAUCAGAGACAUCCUGCAAGAAAGGAGGCGGGAGAGGGAUCAGAGGGAAGGAGGGAGGAGCACUGGGGACUGAGGUAUUGGUGAAGGAAACUCUAUGGGGACUACACCUGAGAGGGUGGGGAGAAGCAAAU